rnacentral:rRNA from 1 species
UUUAUGGAGAGUUUGAUCCUGGCUCAGGAUGAACGCUGGCGGCGUGCCUAAUACAUGCAAGUCGAGCGAACGGACGAGAAGCUUGCUUCUCUGAUGUUAGCGGCGGACGGGUGAGUAACACGUGGAUAACCUACCUAUAAGACUGGGAUAACUUCGGGAAACCGUAGCUAAUACCGGAUAAUAUUUUGAACCGCAUGGUUCAAAAGUGAAAGACGGUCUUGCUGUCACUUAUAGAUGGAUCCGCGCUGCAUUAGCUAGUUGGUAAGGUAACGG